UCGGGAAUUUUGGGCAAUGGGCGAAAGCCUGACCCAGCAACGCCGCGUGAAGGAUGAAGUCUCUCGGGAUGUAAACUUCGUAAGAAUAGGAAGAAUAAAUGACGGUACUAUUUGUAAGGUCCGGCUAACUACGUGCCAGCAGCCGCGGUAAUACGUAGGGACCAAGCGUUGUUCGGAUUUACUGGGCGUAAAGGGCGCGUAGGCGGCGUGGUAAGUCACUUGUGAAAUCUCCGAGCUUAACUCGGAACGGUCAAGUGAUACUGCUGUGCUAGAGUACAGAAGGGGCAAUCGGAAUUCUUGGUGUAGCGGUGAAAUGCGUAGAUAUCGGAAGGAACAUCGGUGGCGAAGGCGUCUACCUGGCCUAAUACUGACACUGAGGCACGAAAGCGUGGGGAGCAAACAGGAUUAGAUACCCCCGUAGUCCCUGAGCGGGCUGGCAAGGCGCAU
rnacentral:rRNA from 1 species